CAGGCCCCAAAAAGGCCUUUAAAA
rnacentral:tRNA from 1 species